CACUCCCAUAACCAUUUUUCUCUCAUACUCAAAAACUACCAAACUACUUUCUCCUUUCACUUACCUCUCAUCAAACCAUGCUUGAUCACCAGCUAAGAUUCACCGGUAAACCACUAUUCUGUGAGCCCUACCCACCAAAUCCAUAGCAAUCAUGACAGUGCAGGAGAUACAGAAUUCGACUUCUGGUUAGGUGGCACUGACAUGGAGGUUCAAGCUCAAACAAGCCUUAUUGAAGAAGGUUUUGAAGCUUACUCACCAGCUUUAUGGGAAAGAAUCGCAUCAAGAAAUAUUGAUUAUGAAUCUUCCCCUUUGCUCCCCCACAACCAUCAUUCCAGUAAACUUUCCUCCGCGUCAAGGAAAAAAGCAAUUGCAGAGGGUAGGAGGCAGCUUAUGGAAAUGGUUCAAGACGAGUCUUGUUUCGAGCUCUCUCUGAAAGAUAUUGUCGAUGAGCAGCAUAUCUCUGGAUUUCAAGAGGUGAUCAUCGAAAAGAAUGGAUUUCAUCUUGACACUGAGCCUCAGAUGAAGAGGAAAAAUAAAAAGAAAAAUAAAGGCAUUACUAAGGCAAGUCAGGUGUCGAGGAUCGGAAGUAUGGACAAAAAAACUUUCCAUGUUCUUCCCAACUUCUUUAGCUUUGAAGAUGAAAUCAAAGGCAGGCAACUGCUCAGAAGUUUCUCCAAGUCCAUCUUUUGAGUAUAGCAAGCAUCAUAUUGACAAGGAUUGGUGGAUGAAAAGGUUUUUGCAAGGAGUAUCCAAUAAAAGAAAUUUAGGGAAUGGCAUGGGUGGAAGCACUAGAAGAAGCAACAGCAGCACAAGCAGGAUUGAUGAUGCCAAUAUCAUACCUGGUUGCUGGUCCUUCCACACCAAGAAAAACAAGACUAAGAGACGGAGAGGAUGCAUCUUCUAAAUGGAAUGCGAUUGAGAACAGCAUAGGAAUGAUCGGGUUGUGCAUAUGCUCCUGUUAUCCUUCAGUAGCAAAUCUCUCAACUUUUUAAACUAGUCAAUUUCCACAGCUUGUUUCUGGUGGAUAAUUGAAUGAACUGUAGGUGGAGCACGAAUUAAUGGCCAGAUGCAGCCGCUGCUCUGAAUAAACUAGUCACUGAAAUUUCAGGUCAGGAAUUAACAUUUUAGACCAUCGUUGUGAUUGGUCUGAAUCUUGGCCUAGCAAAUCCUGUUGAAUAUUGUAUAAUAAAAAUCUCCCGGAACCUGUGUAUAGUUCUUUGCCAAGACAUAGGCUAAAGCCAGAUAGCCUAGCAAUAGGUCAUCUUUCUUCG